UACGUAGGGUGCAAGCGUUGUCCGGAUUUAUUGGGCGUAAAGAGCUCGUAGGCGGCUUAGAAAGUCAGGUGUGAAACCUCCCGGCUCAACCUGGAGACGCCACUUGAUACUUCUAUGGCUUGAGUUCGGUAGGGGUAAGCGGAAUUCCUGGUGUAGCGGUGAAAUGCGCAGAUAUCAGGAGGAACGCCGAUGGCGAAGGCAGCUUACUGGGCCGAAACUGACGCUGAGGAGCGAAAGCGUGGGGAGCGAACAGG
rnacentral:rRNA from 1 species